GACGAGUGGCGGACGGGUGAGUAAUGUCUGGGAAACUGCCCGAUGGAGGGGGAUAACUACUGGAAACGGUAGCUAAUACCGCAUAACGUCGCAAGACCAAAGUGGGGGACCUUCGGGCCUCACACCAUCGGAUGUGCCCAGAUGGGAUUAGCUAGUAGGUGGGGUAAUGGCUCACCUAGGCGACGAUCCCUAGCUGGUCUGAGAGGAUGACCAGCCACACUGGAACUGAGACACGGUCCAGACUCCUACGGGAGGCAGCAGUGGGGAAUAUUGCACAAUGGGCGCAAGCCUGAUGCAGCCAUGCCGCGUGUAUGAAGAAGGCCUUCGGGUUGUAAAGUACUUUCAGCGAGGAGGAAGGCAUUAAGGUUAAUAACCUUAGUGAUUGACGUUACUCGCAGAAGAAGCACCGGCUAACUCCGUGCCAGCAGCCGCGGUAAUACGGAGGGUGCAAGCGUUAAUCGGAAUUACUGGGCGUAAAGCGCACGCAGGCGGUCUGUCAAGUCGGAUGUGAAAUCCCCGGGCUCAACCUGGGAACUGCAUUCGAAACUGGCAGGCUAGAGUCUUGUAGAGGGGGGUAGAAUUCCAGGUGUAGCGGUGAAAUGCGUAGAGAUCU
rnacentral:rRNA from 1 species